AGUGAACGCUGGCGGUAGGCCUAACACAUGCAAGUCGAACGGCAGCACAGUAAGAGCUUGCUCUUACGGGUGGCGAGUGGCGGACGGGUGAGGAAUACAUCGGAAUCUACUUUUUCGUGGGGGAUAACGUAGGGAAACUUACGCUAAUACCGCAUACGACCUACGGGUGAAAGCAGGGGAUCUUCGGACCUUGCGCGAUUGAAUGAGCCGAUGUCGGAUUAGCUAGUUGGCGGGGUAAAGGCCCACCAAGGCGACGAUCCGUAGCUGGUCUGAGAGGAUGAUCAGCCACACUGGAACUGAGACACGGUCCAGACUCCUACGGGUGGCAGCAGUGGGGAAUAUUGGACAAUGGGCGCAAGCCUGAUCCAGCCAUACCGCGUGGGUGAAGAAGGCCUUCGGGUUGUAAAGCCCUUUUGUUGGGAAAGAAAAGCAGCAGGUUAAUACCCCGCUGUUCUGGCGGUACCCAAAGAAUAAGCACCGGCUAACUUCGUG
rnacentral:rRNA from 1 species